ACCAUGAAAAAUGGCCUAGCCUGGGAUAUUGAUAAUUUCUGUAUAUAAUAAUCUUCGGGAUAUAGGCUUUCUAGAAAUGUUUUUCUUUUUUUCAUAUAUUCUAUACUUUUUUGUUAAUAUGACGUUGAAUAUUGUGGUAUUUAAUGUUAAAAAAUUAACAUUUCGGGAUACACGUCACAACAAUAAACCUCCAAUGACCAUGUACAAUGUACAUGAACCUAUAAAUCUCUAAAUAUAUCAAGUUAUAUGCACUCAAAUAGCUAGAAUGGCUUAUUCAAUGAUCAUAAUAAGCAUUUUUGACCAAAUUUGGGAAAUAGAAAUAAGAAAUAUUUUGGAAAUGAUGUUCAAAGCCGUGAUUGUUCAACUUUACUUUUAAAUUAUUUUUACUUGAAUUUUAAAAUACUGAAAUAAGAAGAAUAAAUAUAGUAUGUAGUUUAUUUACAUGGUGAAAGAAGUGAAUCAUUGGAACAAUUCUGUUUCAUAUCAUAUUCCAUAGUUUUGAGGGGUUUUUUUGUUUUCUCUAUUAUUAUUUUUUUUUUUUUUUAGUAUUAAAACGACCGAGUAUCGAAAGCAAUGGUAACGAAAUAAGUUGACACCGCGUCUCGUCAAAACAUGUUCAAUUCGAAUUUACUCGGAAUUACACGUUCAACGAGCAUUUGCUGUGAAACCUGAUUAAAGGAAAAUUACUGUAGACACCUAAUAGUGAUUUGUACAGAAGCGAGCCCCGGCAGGAAUGAUGGCCUCUUUUGAAAUAAGAUUUCAUGCCUUACUUCUACUGGGACUACAACUAACUUUGGACCUGGUCACUCGCAGAUACAGCAUGAAGUGUGCCCUCUUGAUGUACAUGGGGAUGGGAGUGAUACAGAAGGGGGACUAAUUGGAAGAACUGCUGCUGCUGCUGGUGGUGCUGGACUGUCUUGAAUCUGUUGCCUAACCGACUUGAUAUUCUUCUGUUUAAUAUGGGAGCAACACACACACUCUGGCAUAUAUUGCACAGAAAAUCAUGAUCAGAUGGUGCCCUCCCUAUCAGAGUGGUGAUCACUGACCUAUAUUUCUUUGAAAUCCUGGAUCUGUGUUUUGGUUUUACUCUCCAUGGACAGUUGAAACAGAGAAAGAAUUAGGGACCACUCCUUGGCAUAUCUGAAAUAUUUAUGUCAUAUACAUGUAAUUAAAAUAUACAAUUUGGGUUGGAUGAAAAUCUUAUCUUCAUGUUAAAACCCAUUAGCCUAGGUUAUUUUUCCUAAAAUCUCAUUAUAAAUCAAUUAACUUGUUAAUUAAUGCUUGGUGAAUCAAUUGAUAAAUUGUAUUCAAAAACUUGGAAUUAUUUUUUUUCCACUAAUAAACUGAAAAUGUGUAUCUUCAAA